rnacentral:rRNA from 1 species
GAUGAACGCUGACAGAAUGCUUAACACAUGCAAGUCAACUUGAACUUCGGUUUGGGUGGCGGACGGGUGAGUAACGCGUAAAGAACUUGCCUCACAGCUAGGGACAACAUUUGGAAACGAAUGCUAAUACCUGAUAUUAUGAUUAUAUGGCAUCGUAUAAUUAUGAAAGCUAUAUGCGCUGUGAGAGAGCUUUGCGUCCCAUUAGCUAGUUGGAGAGGUAACAGCUCACCAAGGCGAUGAUGGGUAGCCGGCCUGAGAGGGUGAUCGGCCACAAGGGGACUGAGACACGGCCCUUACUCCUACGGGAGGCAACAGUGGGGAAUAUUGGACAAUGGACCGAGAGUCUGAUCCAGCAAUUCUGUGUGCACGAUGAAGUUUUUCGGAAUGUAAAGUGCUUUCAGUUGGGAAGAAAAAAAUGACGGUAGCAACAGAAGAAGUGACGGCUAAAUACGUG